rnacentral:rRNA from 1 species
CCUACGGGGGGCUGCAGUAAGGAAUAUUGGUCAAUGGACGCAAGUCUGAACCAGCCAUGCCGCGUGGAGGAUGAAGGUCCUCUGGAUUGUAAACUUCUUUUAUCUGGGACGAAACACUUCUUUUCUAAGAGGCCUGACGGUACCAGAUGAAUAAGCACCGGCUAACUCCGUGCCAGCAGCCGCGGUAAUACGGAGGGUGCCGGCGUUAUCCGGUUUCACUGGGUUUAAGGGGGGCGUGUAUGGGUGUGUUGAAAUCCCCGAGCUUAACUUGGGAACUGCCUUUGAUACUAUAUACCUUGAAUGCCGUAGAGGUAAGCGGAAUAUGUCAUGUAGCGGUGAAAUGCUUAGAUAUGACAUGGAACACCAAUUGCGAAGGCAGCUUACUAUGCGGUAAUUGACACUGAGGCACGAAAGCGUGGGUAGCAAACAGGAUUAGAUACCCCAGUAGUC